AAUAAUGCCGACCCUUGCAACUACAAUUUCCUAGGUCACCUCUAGAAUACAAACCAUCAGAAUCUAGGUCAUCUCAAUCAUUCUCUUCUCCUUCCCCAUUUUAUAAACAACAAUCCCCUCCAAAAAACACAACAAAUGACCAAAACCCUAUUCUCCUCCCACCACCACCUAAAGAAAAUGACAACUGUCAUUCAAGUACCCGGCAACCCUACUGAAU
rnacentral:lncRNA from 1 species